AGCAUGUGGUUUAAUUCGAAGCACGCGAAGAACCUUACCAAAUCUUGACAUCCUUUGAAAACUCUAGAGAUAGAGCCUUCCCCUUCGGGGGACAAAGUGACAGGUGGUGCAUGGUUGUCGUCAGCUCGUGUCGUGAGAUGUUGGGUUAAGUCCCGCAACGAGCGCAACCCUUAAGCUUAGUUGCCAUCAUUAAGUUGGGCACUCUAGGUUGACUGCCGGUGACAAACCGGAGGAAGGUGGGGAUGACGUCAAAUCAUCAUGCCCCUUAUGAUUUGGGCUACACACGUGCUACAAUGGACAAUACAAAGGGCAGCUAAACCGCGAGGUCAUGCAAAUCCCAUAAAGUUGUUCUCAGUUCGGAUUGUAGUCUGCAACUCGACUACAUGAAGCUGGAAUCGCUAGUAAUCGUAGAUCAGCAUGCUACGGUGAAUACGUUCCCGGGUCUUGUACACACCGCCCGUCACACCACGAGAGUUUGU
rnacentral:rRNA from 1 species